CANNCGUUGGGAGCUCUCCCNUAUGGUCGACCUGCAGGCGGCCGCGAAUUCACUAGUGAUUAGAGUUUGAUCCUGGCUCAGAUUGAACGCUGGCGGCGUGCUUAACACAUGCAAGUCGAACGUGAAAGUCCUUCGGGGCGAGUAAAGUGGCGCACGGGUGAGUAACGCGUGGAUAAUCUACCCUUAAGAUGGGGAUAACGGCUGGAAACGGUCGCUAAUACCGAAUACGCUCCCGAUUUUAUCAUUGGGGGGAAAGAUGGCCUCUGCUUGCAAGCUAUCGCUUAAGGAUGAGUCCGCGUCCCAUUAGCUAGUUGGCGGGGUAACGGCCCACCAAGGCAACGAUGGGUAGCCGGUCUGAGAGGAUGACCGGCCACACUGGAACUGGAACACGGUCCAGACUCCUACGGGAGGCAGCAGUGGGGAAUAUUGCGCAAUGGGCGAAAGCCUGACGCAGCGACGCCGCGUGAGGGAUGAAGGUUCUCGGAUCGUAAACCUCUGUCAGGGGGGAAGAAACCCCCUCGUGUGAAUAAUGCGAGGGCUUGACGGUACCCCCAAAGGAAGCACCGGCUAACUCCGUGCCAGCAGCCGCGGUAAUACGGAGGGUGCAAGCGUUAAUCGGAAUCACUGGGCGUAAAGCGCACGUAGGCGGCUUGGUAAGUCAGGGGUGAAAUCCCACAGCCCAACUGUGGAACUGCCUUUGAUACUGCCAGGCUUGAGUACCGGAGAGGGUGGCGGAAUUCCAGGUGUAGGAGUGAAAUCCGUAGAUAUCUGGAGGAACACCGGUGGCGAAGGCGGCCACCUGGACGGUAACUGACGCUGANGUGCGAAAGCGUGGGUAGCAAACAGGAUUANAUACCCUGGUAGUCCACGCUGUAAACGAUGGGUGCUGGGUGCUGGGAUGUAUGUCUCGGUGCCGUANCUAACGCGAUAAGCACCCCGCCUGGGGAGUACGGUCNCAANGCUGAAACUCNNNAANUUGACGGGGGCCCGCANAGC
rnacentral:rRNA from 1 species